AACGAACGCUGGCGGCAGGCUUAACACAUGCAAGUCGAGCGAGACCUUCGGGUCUAGCGGCGGACGGGUGAGUAACGCGUGGGAACGUGCCCUUCUCUACGGAAUAGCCCCGGGAAACUGGGAGUAAUACCGUAUACGCCCUUUUGGGGAAAGAUUUAUCGGAGAAGGAUCGGCCCGCGUUGGAUUAGGUAGUUGGUGGGGUAAUGGCCCACCAAGCCGACGAUCCAUAGCUGGUUUGAGAGGAUGAUCAGCCACACUGGGACUGAGACACGGCCCAGACUCCUACGGGAGGCAGCAGUGGGGAAUCUUAGACAAUGGGGGCAACCCUGAUCUAGCCAUGCCGCGUGAGUGAUGAAGGCCUUAGGGUUGUAAAGCUCUUUCAGCUGGGAAGAUAAUGACGGUACCAGCAGAAGAAGCCCCGGCUAACUCCGUG
rnacentral:rRNA from 1 species